UCGAUAUCCAGACAUACAAGAAGACUUCCUGGACCCACACGACAAAAUGCUCAGGAGGAGAGGCAGGAUUUUUUUGAGACUAUGGAGGAUAGCUGGACCUUGGUCUGCCUGGGGGAUCUGGGGCCAUGGUCUUGUAUUCAAAGGAAAGGUGAUAAAUGAGGAAGUCUGGGAAUGACUGAAGAAGGCAGCCGUGAGGGAAGGCAGUAAUCAUCAG